rnacentral:tRNA from 1 species
AAGUAGUGAAGUAAUAAUUACAUUUAGUUUCGACCUAAAAUUAGAGAAUACGCAUUCUCCUUACUUA